CCUUGACAUACUAAGAACUUUCCAGAGAUGGAUUGGUGCCUUCGGGAACUUAGAUACAGGUGCUGCAUGGCUGUCGUCAGCUCGUGUCGUGAGAUGUUGGGUUAAGUCCCGCAACGAGCGCAACCCUUUUCCUAUUUGCCAGCGGGUCAUGCCGGGAACUUUAAGGAUACUGCCAGUGACAAACUGGAGGAAGGCGGGGACGACGUCAAGUCAUCAUGGCCCUUACGGCCAGGGCUACACACGUGCUACAAUGGUCGGUACAAAGGGUUGCUACCUCGCGAGAGGAUGCUAAUCUCAAAAAGCCGAUCGUAGUCCGGAUCGCAGUCUGCAACUCGACUGCGUGAAGUCGGAAUCGCUAGUAAUCGCGGAUCAGAAUGCCCGCGGUCCGAAUACGUUCCGGCCUUGUACACACCGCCCGUCACACCAUGGGAGUUUGUUGCACCAGAAGUAGGUAGUCUAACCGCAAGGAGGACGCUUACCACGGUGUGGCCGAUGACUGGGGUGAAGUCGUAACAAGGUAGGCGUAGAUGA
rnacentral:rRNA from 1 species